GUCCACGCUGUAAACGGUGAGUGCUGGGUGUGGGAGGUGUAAUGCCUUCUGUGCCGAAGCUAACGCGUUAAGCACUCCGCCUGGGGAGUACGGCCGCAAGGUUGAAACUCAAAGGAAUUGACGGGGCCCGCACAAGCGGUGGAGCAUGUGGUUUAAUUCGACGCAACGCGAAAACCUUACCUGGGUUUGACAUGUGGAGAACCCGGUGGAAACACUGGGGUGCCCCGUAAGGGGAGCUCCAACACAGGUGCUGCAUGGCUGUCGU
rnacentral:rRNA from 1 species